GUCAAGAGGCGCCUGGGAACUGGAGAAGAGUGUUAAACUUCUGGAGCAAGACUGUACUUUUCCUGUGAAAAUCACUUUCCAUAAUCUGGAGUAUAGGCAUGUAAAGGACUGUUGGAAAACGGAGUGUGGGUGAAAUCGUGCUGCUUUGUCUUAUUAAAAAGAAAUAAAAUACAUGUACACACACCCUUCUGGUCUGUAUGAACUGCUUGUCAUCUUCCCCAGGGACUGGGUGCAGGCCCCCAUAAAAGGUACAGUUAGAGGAGGCCUUGUGAGCCUGGGAGUCUAGCUCUAGCCACCAAAUGCCUUUCUCCCAGACUCCUUUGCGUUUGAACAAGGUGUGGGAGGUGGUUUGGGUCCCGUUGGGCCCCCAAGGACCCCCUGGCUCCCAGGAGCACUGAAACCCCUUGGAACUUAAGCCACGCCUUGCCCCCAUCUCCUUGGCUUCUUGAAGCCACGCCCCCCAGCUCCUGCCUCACCCCUCCCCUUGGCAGGGCCCCUCUGGCCCGGAAUCCCCAAGACAAAUGGCUAACAGGUUCAGGCGCCCCGCGUUCCUAUGCGCAGGGUUGGAGGAGGGGCACUUUGAGACUUCCUAUUCUCCCUCACCAACUUCCCUUCUCCAUCUCCACUGUUCAACAGGGCUUUGCCUUAUGCCAGAGGAAGAGCGCCGGGGCUCACUGAAGGCCCCCACUCACCCAGAAGAAUCUGGCCUGCGCCAUCUGGCUGCUUCCAGUGGGUGCCUGCAAGAUUCAAGUGAGAUUCAGGUGGGUUGGGGACUUUAGAGCAGAGGAGCAAAUGAUCCAGGUUUAAGGCCACUGACUAAGAAUCUAAGAUGCCAUUAGCCCAAGGUGCCCAAGGGCGCCAAAAUUGAGCUCAUCCACAUAGCACCUGGCUGCGUGGUGCCCUUUUUUGAUUUGAAAUGCUCUUCGCACCUUUAUUUGCCUAGUCGAAGUUAUGAUGUGCUUCGAUUUUCUUCCAAGGGCAAAAUGUGAAUAAAGCAAUAUUUUAGCCAAACACUUCUAUGUCAAUUAAGAAGAUGGCAAUUCGUUCCAGAUUAUAAAUUCCCUUUAACAACUCCCUAAGGUAUUCUUUUAAAUUGUUUUUCAAACAUUGCUAAAUGUGCAUGAUAAUGUGUGGGAGACUUGUAUAAAGUGAUUCAAUUUAUGGUCGGCUGAUUAAUUGAUCCUCCAUUACCACAUUCAAAGAGGCACCUCUCCAUUGUUUUCUCCGUUUUUUUUCCCCCAACACAUGUUAUUUGUUAGUGAGGAAGCUGUGUGCACGUGGCAUUGUAAAAGGUUACUAGACAGACAUGGCUCUUAAAACUAUGAAAAGCUUAGCCUGGCUCUAAAUCUAAACUCUGACAUUUCUGUAAGUUGUAGGACAAGAUAUUCAGGUUAUUGUGAUACACUAGAAUUGAACAUAAUUUUGUAACAAUUUUAAUAACAGGAAUACUUCUGAAGGCAUCUUCUGCUAGCCAUAUUGGUUUGGUUUGGUUUGGUUUUCCAACAAGGGAACACUACAUCAACAAUCUUGGGGAUGUGGACACAGAAGACUCCUGUUCCAAGAAAGUACAAUCAUCUUUCAAAAACUGUAAUUUAUAUGCGUUUUACCACACUAGAUAUUGAAAACCACCCAACUAGGGGGGUACAGUAUAUAACCAGUCACUAGUGUAAUAUUGUAUACCUUUUUAAAAUGUUAUUGGAAAGUGUUUUAUGAUCUGUAAGUCAAAUAAUCCGGCCCCACCGUUUUCAUUUUUCCUGCUAUUCCCCCAAAUCUAGGCUCCUUUGUUCCAGUUGGCAUGUAAACUUGUUUUUUCCA
rnacentral:lncRNA from 1 species